GCUGUUGGCAUUUGUAAUGCACUUAGGUGCACGUGUUAUUCACUCUUCUCUCGGUAUAUACCAAUUUCCGGCCAGUUUUUUGAGAAUUGUGACUCGUUGUUACUCCUAUUCUGUUGCAGAAAUGUCGAUUGACAGGAAGAGUACAGCCAAGGUUGAUUACCUAAAGGAGAUAGAAAAGCAGGUCCAAAAGAGAUGGGCUGAGAAUAAAACCUUUGAAGUGGACUCUCUUCCUCCUGGAUCACCAGAUGCAAAGAAAGAAAAGUUCUUUUGCACAUUUCCGUAUCCUUAUAUGAAUGGAAGACUUCAUCUUGGACACACAUUUACCCUUUCAAAGGCUGAGUUUGCUAUUGGUUACCAACGGCUGAAAGGCAAGAGAUGUCUUUUUCCAUUUGGACUACACUGUACAGGCAUGCCCAUCAAGGCCUGUGCAGACAAGCUGAAGCGUGAAAUGGCUGAUUUUGGAUUUCCUCCAAAGUUUCCUGAAAAAGUUGAAAAAGAGGAGUCAAAACAGAUGAAAAGCAAGGUUGCAGCCAAGACAGGUGGUUUGGAGUAUCAGUGGCAAAUUAUGCAAUCACUUGGAUUGAGUGAUGAAGAAAUAAAAAAGUUUGCUGAAGCUGAUUACUGGUUACAUUAUUUUCCACCUUUGGCAAAAUCUGAUCUGCAAAAUAUGGGAUUGAAGGUGGACUGGAGACGGUCAUUUAUCACCACUCAUGUCAAUCCAUACUACGACUCUUUUGUAAGGUGGCAUUUCUGGACCCUUAAAGAUGGUGGGAAAGUCAAGUUUGGCAAAAGGUACACAAUUUUCUCCCCUAAGGAUGGCCAGCCCUGCAUGGACCAUGACCGACAGACAGGAGAGGGAGUAGCACCUCAGGAAUACACUGGAAUCAAAAUGAAGAUCUGUGAACCAUUCAAAGGGAAACUAAGUGCACUGACUGGAAAGAACGUCUUUCUAAUGGCUGCUACACUGAGACCAGAAACCAUGUAUGGACAAACAAACUGUUGGGUUCAACCAGACAUCAAGUACAUUGCCUUUGAGACGAACAUUGAAAAUGAAAUCUAUGUAAGCACCCGACGAGGAGCAAGGAACAUGUCUUAUCAAGGGUUCACCCCAAAGGAAGGAGUGGUCAAUGUUCUGUUAGAGCUGACUGGACAGGACAUCAUGGGAAUUCCUUUGGAUGCACCGCUCACACAUCACAAAGUUGUUUACACUCUCCCCAUGUUGACCAUCAAAGAAGACAAAGGUACCGGUAUUGUGACGUCAGUUCCCUCGGAUGCCCCGGAUGAUUACGCUGCUCUCAGAGAUGUCAAAAACAAAGCGGCAUUCAGACAGAAAUAUGGUAUUACAGAUGAGAUGGUUCUACCAUAUGAACCUAUUCCCAUCAUCCAGGUCCCUGGUUACGGGGACCUCUGUGCGGUAAAGGCCUGUGACGACCUCAAGAUAAAGAGCCAGAAUGAUAAGGACCUUCUGACAGAAGCCAAAGAGCUCACCUACAAGAAAGCCUUUUACGAGGGAACAAUCAUUGUUGGGGAAUAUGCUGGUCAAAAAGUUCAAGACGUGAAGAAACUUGUGCAGAAGAAAAUGUUAGACAGCGGUGAGGCACGGAUCUACAUGGAGCCAGAGAGGAAGGUCAUUUCGCGGUCAGCGGAUGAAUGCGUUGUUGCUCUUUGCGACCAGUGGUUCCUGGAUUAUGGCGAUGAAUCCUGGAAAAAUACUGCGCGGGAAUCUCUGGAAACUUUGAACACAUACGCGGAGGAAACCAGACGCAACUUUGAAGCCACCUUGGACUGGAUUCAGGAGCAUGCGUGUUCAAGGUCUUAUGGUCUCGGCACUCGUUUACCUUGGGACGAACAGUAUUUGAUUGAGUCGCUGUCUGAUUCCACCAUUUACAAUGCUUACUACACAGUCGCGCAUCUGUUGCAAGAGGGCUCCUUUGACGGUUCUGCCGGCGGGCCCCUAGGAAUCAGGGCGGAACAGAUGACUAGAGAGGUGUGGGAUUAUGUGUUUUUUAAAGAUGCACCUUUUCCUCAAACAGACAUCUCAGAGGAUAAAUUGAAAAAACUUCGUCAAGAAUUCAAGUACUGGUACCCAGUAGACUUACGUGUGUCUGGGAAAGAUCUGGUGCCAAAUCACUUGACAUUCUUCCUGUACAAUCACUGCGCUGUGUGGCCAAACGAGAAAGACAAGUGGCCUCGAAGCGUGAGGGCCAAUGGACACUUGUUACUCAACUCUGAGAAGAUGUCGAAAUCGACUGGAAACUUUCUUACUCUGAAACAAGCUGUUGAAAAGUUUUCCGCUGAUGGCAUGCGCCUGGCCCUGGCUGAUGCUGGAGACACAAUGGAAGAUGCAAACUUUGUAGAGUUGAUGGCUGAUGCAGGAAUCUUACGUCUGUUCACUUUCCUCGAGUGGACAAAGGAGAUGCUUGCCAGCAAAGAUUCUCUGCGCAAGGGGCCUGCAACAUGUUACGAUGAUCGAGUGUUUGAAAGCUCCAUCAACAAAGCUAUAGAAGAUUCUGAUACAAACUAUAAGAACAUGAUGUACAGAGAGGCACUCAAAACGGGCUUCUAUGAACUGCAGGCAGCAAGGGACCGAUACCGGGAGGGCUGUAUGAUGGGCAUGCAUAAAGACCUUGUGUUUCGGUUCAUCGAGGUUCAAACCCUGUUGCUGUGUCCCAUCUGCCCACAUCUUGCCGAGCAUCUCUGGGAACUCAACGGCAAGACCGGUAGUAUUAUGGAUGCAUCAUGGCCGGCAGUUGGAAAGGUGGAUAUGCCGUUGCUGAAGUCAGCGGACUACUUAGCUGAUCGCACUCACGAGUUCCGUUUGAGAAUUAAAACCAUGAUGAACCCAAAGGGAAAAAAAGAAAGAUGCAGCUCCACCCAAGAAACCCACUCAUGGUAUAAUCUACGUGGCCAGCUCUUAUCCACCUUGGCAGCAUGUCACCCUUACCACACUGAAGGAAAUGUACGUCAAGCUGGGGGGGAACUUCCCGGAUAACAGGGAUAUUAUGACUCGGAUGAAAGAACUACCGGAAGUCAAGAGCGCCAUGAAGAAGCUGAUGCCAUUUGUACAACAUGUCAAGGAAUGUGUAGAACGUGACGGUCCGUCGGCCUUGGAGACAACUCUACCGUUUGAUGAAAGACAAGUUCUUGAGGAGAACAACGCAUUUCUUUCAAAAGCUCUCGAA
rnacentral:misc_RNA from 1 species